UUUUUUUUUUUUUUUUUUGCAGUUCUGCAGUUCCAAUUUGGUUUUCCAGUCAUCCCCCAUUUUUUAUCACCUCUAUUGCAGAAUAAUUAAAGCUUAAUCUUUUCCCCUAAAACAUGGAAAAUUUCUGUUUCAAAGUUAAAUGUCCUAUCCCAGAUUAACGAUUUGUGCAUUGCACAUGCAUGUUAAAGUUAAAAAAGAUGAUGAAUUUUUUAAUCCCGUGCAUUAUCAAAACAAACAUCUAAAAGAACAAGUAACUUAAGCAUAUUCCAGCAUAAUACAAGCAAACAAAAGUAUCUUUAGAUGUUAUUAUGUGUCAACGCUCUUGACCAAUAACUUGUCCAAUGUUUGUUCAUUGUUUGACCAUAAAAAUACUGAAAUAGAAUGGACUAGAUAAGGGUCAUAAUGAUGAGUGAUAUCAGAGAUGUGCAAGCUAUUUUAGAUUUUUAGUGAAGAAUAUCUAUAACAAUACCAAGUACAGAUUGAUAACCAAAGACAAUAAAUUACAUUUCCAAACUGAAUGCAGCAAAUGACUACCUUAAUAAAGCAGUAGAAUGUUU
rnacentral:misc_RNA from 1 species